GUUCCUGAGCCAAGCAUGCUCAGUACAAGCAUGAUCAAGUAACAACCGGAUUUAUCCACCCCUGAGGUUCACACCUCCACGGACAAGCUUUUUGCUGCUGUGAAGACAGUACUAACCUCCAGGUACCAUAAAUCUCAGACUUGUAACACAGCCCUCAUUCUUUGGCUCAUGGCCACGCCCUGCAUCCAGUAAUACACCUGCACCUCUUAGUAUGAGUAACGGGUAUGUAUAUGUGAGUUGUCUGUGUUCAUGACAUGCCAAUAGAGAGUAUAGUCAAAAGUCCUGUCCCAGGGACCUUUCUGAAGCUGCAUUAAGGGAGAAGAGCAUACAACAAAGCUGACCUUAAACUACUGGGCUCAAGCAAUCUUCCUGCCUCAGCCUACCAGGACCUGAGGCUCUCCAUAUGUGUCACCAAAACCAGCUCAGAGCAUUUCCUUAUUGAUCCAUGGUAGCA
rnacentral:lncRNA from 1 species